rnacentral:rRNA from 1 species
GACGAACGCUGGCGGCGCGCCUAACACAUGCAAGUCGAACGAGAGAUGAGGAGCUUGCUCUUCAAAUCGAGUGGCGAACGGGUGAGUAACGCGUGAGGAACCUGCCUCAAAGAGGGGGACAACAGUUGGAAACGACUGCUAAUACCGCAUAAGCCCACGGCUCGGCAUCGAGCAGAGGGAAAAGGAGCAAUCCGCUUUGAGAUGGCCUCGCGUCCGAUUAGCUAGUUGGUGAGGUAACGGCCCACCAAGGCGACGAUCGGUAGCCGGACUGAGAGGUUGAACGGCCACAUUGGGACUGAGACACGGCCCAGACUCCUACGGGAGGCAGCAGUGGGGAAUAUUGCACAAUGGGGGAAACCCUGAUGCAGCGACGCCGCGUGGAGGAAGAAGGUCUUCGGAUUGUAAACUCCUGUUGUUGAGGAAGAUAAUGACGGUACUCAACAAGGAAGUGACGGCUAACUACGUG